UGGUCUUGAACUCCUUGAACUCCUGACUUUAGGUGAUCCACUCGCCUCCACCUCCCAAAGUGCUGGGAUUAUGGGUGUGAGCCACAGCACCCGGCCUGAACCUCAUCUCUCUUUAUAAGACUUCACCACCUAACCUUCCAGACACAGGUGGUGAAUUCCUGAAACCUGAUGGUGGUUUAGAUUCUGGGUUACUGAGAAUAACUGUCUACCACAACGCUUACAGUCCCAGAAGAGGAGAGAUUCUUUCUUUCUCCCAGGAUUGGUCUGUUUCAAUCUCUGAAAAGGACUCUGACUGGUCUUGCUUGGAUCCUUUGCUGGCCCUGUAACCAAUUAAUGCUUAAGGUUCUGAGAUGGCAACUGCUGGUUUCAUUUGUCUGGAGAUUUCAUCUUUCAGAGCUGUCAAGGAUUUUAGUGGCUAUAAGGAGAGAACUCUGAUGAUAAAGUUUAUUGAUUCAUGACUGCAUUCAUAUAAAACACUAAAUGGAAUUUUGAAUGGCAAGAAACAUGUUUUGUACAUUCAAUAAAUGAGAAUCUGUGUAUCAUGAAAAUGGUAACACUUAGUAUGAUAAUUUUCAGUUUAUAAAGUGUUUUAUUUAAUUCUGACAAUAAUCCUGUAAGGUAGCUGAGUUGUUGAGUUAUAGUAGCACUCAAUGUAUACCCUUCAACCCCUGCCACAAACACACAAAUGCAUGUUCAGUUUUCUUUCAUAUACAAAAUAUCCCAUCUCCCCAAACCGUUACCCCAUCUCAUACUUUGUUCACUUCUAAAAUUCCUGGAAAGGUGAAAUGUUCCCAUAACUGUCUUCAACUCAUCACUACCACUCCAUGAGAUCUGGUCUAAUCUUUGCCAUUAUAGAAAAUCUCACUUAGUUACUAAUAACUUCCUUGUUGCUAAAUGUAGUGAAGUUUCCUCUAUAUGUAUCAUUCGAAG
rnacentral:lncRNA from 1 species